rnacentral:lncRNA from 1 species
CAUACCUUUUGUACCAUCACUAGCUACUCCUCCAAUUCCCCUUCCCAACACAAAAAUUAAAGGCCAUCAUUAAUGUCUAAUCACUCUCUACUUCAACCCCUGUUUCCUUCUUCCUCGUCAUUCCCCAUUUUCACUUCUUCUCCAGAGUUGAAAUUUCCUCCAUUUUCAACAACACCCAUUAAAAUUUUUCAAGUUGUAUGGUUUUGAUUGAACAAAU